rnacentral:tRNA from 1 species
AGAAAAGUAAGCUAAAUUCAAGCUAAUGGGUUCAUACCCCAUUUAUAGAGAAACCUCUCUUUUCUA